UACACAUUUUUAUGUUAUUUAGGUGUUCACAGUUUUAUUUUUAAGUAUUUGCCUGAAUAUGAGAUAUGAGCUUUAUGUGUGUGCGUGUGUGUGCAUGUGUGUGAUAGAGAAAGAGAGAGAGAAUAAUUAGUAAAUAACCAUCAAUAUGUGACUCUUUUCUGCAUAUUGAAGAUGAGCCAUAUCAGCCCACAGAUGAACCAGGCAUUUACAUAACUGUGAUUCCGGAUUGUCCCAGCAGAACAUCGUCUCAGAGCUCAGGUGGAAAUUAUAUAAAUAUAGGGGGAAAUAUAGAGCAAAAGGACGGGAAUGCAUC